rnacentral:tRNA from 1 species
UAGGUUGAAGUUUAUUGUUUGAGCGUUUGGCCGUUAACCAGAAAGUAGUUGGAUAAAUACCAACCAACCUAG